UAUAUAUAUAUAUGUAUGUAUGUAUGUAUAUGUGUGUGUGUCCACCAGAGGACGCACAUUCACAACAAACAACCUUUCAAUGAAAAUAACUUAAAACACAUCUGUCCAAAGGGAGGAUUUACUUGUUUCAUGAGAUAUUGUUUGCUUUAUUUAAGUUAGUGUGUUGUUUUGCUCGAUAUAUAAUACUAUGUUUAUACUGUGUCUGAACCGUAAAACAUGUAAUAUGGGGGAAAAAGUUUCUUCAUCUUAUUUCUAUUUAGCUGUCAUACUCUUCUUUUGAAAUUUAAUAUAAUUUGUGAUUGUAAAACUUAGUUUAACACGAUGUUGCAGUAUCACAAACAAAGUUUGGAGAAAUGACUUGAUAUUAGCCUGUUACAGUCAUGCACCGUGUUAUUUAUUCGUGGAAAAGUAAUACAAUUUAAGGCAAAUAUCGUAUUUAAAAUAAUGCUGGAAACAGCUCCGUUUUAAAAACCAACAGAACCUCAAAGACUCAUGCUAAACAGUGGAUGUCUUCCUUUGAUCUGCCUUUUUUAGCCUUGGCCAAUGACAAACAAUUUACUAGUUGAUUGAUAUAUCUCUCAACCAAUAAGAGCCGGGGUUUCUUCUUAGGACGGUAGCUCACGUACGGCUGAUUUGCAACCCGCCGAAGCAGCAGCAGAGAAGAAGGAAAAAUGUCGCAGGCUUUGACUCGGACCGUUCUAGGAUCAGUGUCAAUUUAGGAAAAAAAUACGGAUUAAACUUCUCAUGUGUUGCUGAGUAUUUAGAGAAUCAUCACAAAUCCUUGAACAUAUAACAAUUUUAAUGGGAUUAUUUCAGUUUUAGUCAUAGAUAGAGCUAGGAGGUAUAGAUUUGUUUUAAUUUUCACCGUUUGAGAAAGUGUGCAGUGCAGGCUGGAGUUGAGGAAACCCGAAAAUAGUCAUUCUAAAACUUAUUUUCCUCAUUCAGUGAAAAGGAGAAACCUUUUAUCAAAGACAUGGACCCAUCUGGUAGUGUGUUGGGUCUGGAUGGCCAGGGUAACAUGGUUUUUACCGUGGUCAAACCAGUUAUGAGCAUUUUUCAGGUGUCUUCAGAGCAAGGCAGCGGCGUAUCACACGGGGACAUGGGAAUGCAGGGUUUAUCUGAAAAUGCAUUAGUCCCCUCUCAGGGACAGUGUCAGGCUCCGUUAGACCAGAACCAAAUAGAAAUGCACAACAUUCAACCUCAGAUGCAGAGUUCUGCACCGCUCCAGACUGAGAACGUGCCUCCACAUCAGGAGCUGCUGCCACACUUGAGCACAAAUUCUGAAUCCACCACAGAGAUUCCAUUUGCAGAGGUGUCGUCUCUCCUGGAUCCCAACAUGAAGGGAUCCAAGGCUCGGAAAUAUCUAAUCUCAUAUGAUGAGAUUAAAAGACGCCUUCAGGCCCCAGAGAAGAUGUCCCUGCGAUCCCUGGCAGCAUACACUCGUGUCAGCAGAGGCCCAGCCAGCAAGAAAACUCUCCAGGAGUCACUGAAUGUCCUCGGCCUCUCGCCAGGCACAACUACCUCUGUAUCCUCAUCGUUCUCCAAACUCACAGAAGGUGACACCAGAGCUCUGUGUGAAGAUAUGAAAGAUUUUGCACAUGACUAUGUUGACUACGGCAACAUGGCCAAGCAGCUCAUCCCUGACAUAAAUACAGUUCAACACUGGUCCAAAAUCAUAGAAACAAAGAACCACCUUGAGGAUAUGCGAAAAUGUUUCAAGGACCCAAUUAACAGCGGUGCAUUUGACAAUGUAACUCACGGUCUUGGUCUUGGAAUGUUGGACGUAGCCAUGGACAUGAUUGAUAUGGUGAUCGAUCAGCAGAUUCACAUCCUGUCUGGUGCAGCAGCAUCAGAUCCAGCUGACUCGGGUCUGCCCAUGCGUCGCAUCCGCAGGCGUCACCGCAAGAUCCGCCCUUGCGACGAGAAGUCUCAUAAAUUGUCUGGAGGCGUGAAAGAUCAUGGCAAGAUCAUAAUGAAAAGCAAGGAUCGUGCCAGAGUCAAGAAGAAGAUAACACAAGAGUCUGGAUCCUCUGGUUCCAUCGAGACCCAGACCGAGCUGGAUAAACCAGAUAAUGUAGAGAAUAAUGUCCUCACGUUGGUCUCUGUAGGUUAUGAUGCUGUUUCUACUGGUCUGAGUGCAGCGGGAGCUGUUUGACAACUGCUCAAAUGAGUAUUACACCAGUUCUGCUGCAGAGAAGAUGAUCAGGUCACAUUCUAAAGCAACAACCCUUUCAAAUGGCAAGAUGCUGCUUCACUUUGGUAAAGAAUUUCCUUUCAGCCAUUCAGACAUUGUUCAUAUUUGUGUCAUUGUUCUUUAUGGGUUAAUUCCUUUAACCCGUAAAAGUGUCAGAACCAGCUUAGUUUUGCUGUUUGACUGAAAAGCACACACACUGAGAGGUUUUGUUAACAUGUAUUGAUUCAGUUUAUUAAAUUCUACACAAGCUUUGAGUGGAUGAGUGAUGUCCACAGUGCUUGAAGCUGCUGGAAGUAUCAGCUGUUUUUUGCAGCAGCUAAUAGAACAAAUUGAUGCAUAUUUCCUGUCAGGUUAAUCGGAAGUCACUGGUGGACCUUUGGUGGAGUUUUUCCUUUAAAGAGAACUUGUAUAACGUUUGGAUCACAACAGCAGACCAGUAACUCUUGACCCAAUGGAGUCUGGUUGGUUUUGGCAAACUUCCUGUUUCUUUUUCCCAGUUCACUCGUCAUCAUCAUCAUUAUUAUUAUUAUUAUUAAGCAAAACUCAAAAACCACUAGACCCAAGCAGUUGAAGCAUCAAAGGUACUUACUGUAGUUAUACACAUUAACUGAAUUAAUCAUGCCUCACACAGCGCAACUUCAAACAAAUCUAUUCCUUUAAGACCUGUAGUGGCUUCCAUUGCUUGACCUAGAUUCAGCACAAUCCUCCCAGUGCUCUUAAAGCUUAGAGCCACACCUAGACUCCAACAUCUUCCAUCUCAUGUGCAGUAUUCAUACACAAACACCAAAGCUUAAAAAAGAGAUGAGUUAUGGUUUUAGGGUCAGGUGUGUACCAGACUAGUUCUUAGUUGAAGUAGUUUUAUUUUUUAGUUAUUACACAGACAAAAUGCAGCUACUUUUGUUUCUCCAUACAUUAAUAAAAUUAAAUAGAUUUUUCAGCCACUGUGGAGUUUUUAUAUAUGCAAGUUAUAAAUAACUGCAAUCUUCAAUGGCAUACUGAACAGCCUCUUUUAGGUUAAUUAG
rnacentral:lncRNA from 1 species